UUCUGAAAGUAAAAGUCAGAAACCUGAUGGAAAUCUGAGCAGCUGCGUCUAAAAUCCACCCACACUCACACCUACAGGCAAUUUAGAGUCACCAAUUUAACCUGCAUGUCUUUUGACGGUGGGAGAGACCCUACGCACACACGAGGAGAACACAGAAAGGCCUGGGACGACCAAGGUUCAAGCCAAAAUAGCAGAAAGGUGAACACAUAGUGCUCAUGAUGGGGAGCAGGAAGUGAACACUCAAUAAACAAAAGAAAAUGAAACCAGCAAUUCUCAGAUUCUUUUGUCCACUUUUGGAGCAGCGGUAACGAUCUGUAAACGAUCUGACAUACCUAUAAAAAAAAAAAAUAUUGCACACUUUUACUGGCCUGGUGUGGCUACAUGUUUUGACAAAUAAAUGCAGGUCUCCAUUAGAAGCCUGGUCUGGCUUUUACCGACGUUCUUUGGGUGAAUAAAACGUCUUAAAGCCCACCGGGUCGCCUGCUAAGCUGCUUAGAUAGUGUUAGUGCGUUAAAUCCUCAACAAUUCAUCUGUUGAUGGUUCACAGUCUCACCCGAUGAUCAAGGCAACAGCAACAAUACAUCCCAGCAUGCUCAGGCCCAACAGGACACCCAGAGCGAUGACCACAGCCUGGUCGUCGGAGGCGGGGCUUUGAGGUUUCAUUUCUAGGUCAAACUGAAGACCAUCCCCAAACACUUUGACUAGCUCCGCCCUCACAGCAUCUGAUUGGCUCUGCAACUUCCUGAUGGAUAACAGAGGCAUGGUUACGGACCUGAGAGUAACAGCUCCAACACGAUUGAUCGGAUUUUUGACCUGUCGCAUGACAUAUCUUAUGACAGUUGAGAGAUGUGAAGAAAUGUUACCUGAAAACAAGUUUGACAAAAUGAAACGACCUCCCUUCCGUCGACACUGAUGAAGCUGACCAAAGUCUUCACAGCCGCCCUCAGCGAUCUGGACUCAGAGGCUCCUCCGUUAUCGCUCCACACCUCGAUGAUGUCCACCGUCCAGCCCAGAGCCGAACCUAAAGACCUGAGAAUUAAAAAGCUGUGGGACUUUCUUCUCCACAGCAUUGGCAGGCUGGUUGAGGGAGAUGACCACCACGUCAGUGCUGCUCGCACCUCCCUGGACCGCCACCUGGGGGCAGAAGAGCGCUGUUGUGGUUUCUUUAAUUCAGAAGAAAGAAAAUGGCAACAACACUAAGAAUCACAAGAAGAAUCUCCUGGACGUUUUUCUCACUUUAUAAAAAUGUUUAAACAUUUUUCCUCCGCCGCUGUGAACUACUCCACCCAGCCCUCCACACUCACCUCCACCUUGGUUGUAGCUUCAAGUCCUCGGGGGUCUGUGGCCUUCACCUCCACCUGAGCCUGCUGUCCAGCCAGACCCACUGCCGACACCACGUACACCAGACCUGAGGACGGCUCCACGUCGAAAUAAGGACUGUCUGCUGAGAGACUGUAGACCAGCUGACCCUCCUCACCGACAUCAUGGUCUGAAGCCUAUUUUAAGUAAAUUAAAUAAUGCAAUUCAUUAAGGUCAGAUGUUUGAAAAGUAAAGCUGUCAGCGCUA